AUAUCAAUAAGCGGAGGAAAAGAAACCAACAGGGAUUGCCCUAGUAACGGCGAGUGAAGCGGCAACAGCUCAAAUUUGAAAUCUGGCCUUCGGGUCCGAGUUGUAAUUUGCAGAGGAUGCUUUUGGUGAGGUGCCUUCCGAGUUCCCUGGAACGGGACGCCAUAGAGGGUGAGAGCCCCGUCUGGUCGGACACCAAUCCUUUGUAAAGCUCCUUCGACGAGUCGAGUAGUUUGGGAAUGCUGCUCUAAAUGGGAGGUAUAUGUCUUCUAAAGCUAAAUACCGGCCAGAGACCGAUAGCGCACAAGUAGAGUGAUCGAAAGAUGAAAAGCACUUUGAAAAGAGAGUUAAACAGUACGUGAAAUUGUUGAAAGGGAAGCGCUCAUGACCAGACUUGGGCUUGGUUGAUCAACUUGGGUUCUCCCGGGUGCACUCUUCCUCGUCCAGGCCAGCAUCAGUUCGCUGCGGGGGAUAAAGGUUUCGGGAAUGUGGCUCCCUCGGGAGUGUUAUAGCCCGUUGCGUAAUACCCUGCGGUGGACUGAGGUCCGCGCAUCUGCAAGGAUGCUGGCGUAAUGGUCAUCAGCGA
rnacentral:rRNA from 1 species